rnacentral:rRNA from 1 species
CCUACGGGAGGCAGCAGUGAGGAAUAUUGGACAAUGGGCGCAAGCCUGAUCCAGCCAUGCCGCGUGCAGGAAGAAGCAUCUAUGGUGUGUAAACUGCUUUUGUACAGGAAGAAACACUCCCUCGUGAGGGAGCUUGACGGUACUGUAAGAAUAAGGACCGGCUAACUCCGUGCCAGCAGCCGCGGUAAUACGGAGGGUCCGAGCGUUAUCCGGAAUCAUUGGGUUUAAAGGGUCCGUAGGCGGUUUAAUAAGUCAGUGGUGAAAUCUGGUCGCUCAACGAUCAAACGGCCAUUGAUACUGUUAGACUUGAAUUAUAAGGAAGUAACUAGAAUAUGUAGUGUAGCGGUGAAAUGCUUGGAUAUUACAUGGAAUACCAAUUGCGAAGGCAGGUUACUACUUAUGGAUUGACGCUGAUGGACGAAAGCGUGGGGAGCGAACAGGAUUAGAUACCCUGGUAGUCCACGCCGUAAACGAUGGAUACUAGCUGUUCGGAGCAAUCUGAGUGNGUAGAGAAGUAGAUAAGUAUACCACCGUACGGGAGGUACGUUCGUCGAAGAAGUAGAAACGUUAAAAGUUAAGUAAAGUUAGUACGGACGUGAGACGUGACCGAACGGACGACGACGAGGGAGGAGG